rnacentral:rRNA from 1 species
AACGAACGCUGGCGGCAGGCCUAAAACAUGCAAGUCGAGCGCCCAGCAAUGGGAGCGGCGGACGGGUGAGUAACACGUGGGAAUGUACCUUUCGGUUCGGAACAACCCAGGGAAACUUGGAUUAAUUCCGGAUACGCCCUUACGGGGAAAGAUUUAUCGCCGAGAGAUCAGCCCGCGUUGGAUUAGCUAGUUGGUGAGGUAACGGCCCACCAAGGCGACGAUCCAUAGCUGGUUUGAGAGAACGACCAGCCACACUGGGACUGAGACACGGCCCAGACUCCUACGGGAGGCAGCAGUUGGGAAUCUUGGACAAUGGGGGAAACCCUGAUCCAGCCAUGCCGCGUGAGUGAUGAAGGCCUU